AAUUUUAAUAAUUGUUUGAUAUGAAAAAAACGUUACGUUUCCUGAUGAAAGCGUUUCUUUUGUUUACAUCGAAUAUGACGUCAUAACUUAAAGAACGUCACAGCUAAUUCCCUAACAACAGAACCAAAAUCGGGAACGUUACGUACGGUAUUUCGGUUUCUUUUAUCAACAUGAUUGAAUUAAGAAAAUAAUACAUACAGACUUCGUCCCCAUUCACAGGUUAUGCCUGCCUCAUAUUAUAUAUAUUGUUGAGAUACAAAUCAGUUUACUUGGAAUUUUUUAUAUUUUAAUAUGGGGACGAAGUCCCCAAUAACAGUAGAAAAUUCAAUAAAAAAAAAAAAUUCGGGAAAAUUUCCCGAAUUUUUCAUUGUACUAAUGAACUCAAAAUCGUUCAAUUUUUUUUAUGUCAUGUUUUGAAAUCCCGGACUGGCGCAGAAAUGUACAAUAUACUUCCUUUUUCCGGUCUCGUUUGUAUGGAACUUUGAGAAAAAUAUAUAUUUAUCAGUCUAGUAUAAAAUAGGAAGGAACGUGCAAUACCAAUUUCAUUUUUAAUAAUUCCUUGAUAUGAAAAAACGUUACCUAAUGAUAGCGUUUCUUUGUUUACAUUGCAUAUGACGUCAUAAUUUAAAUAACGUCACAACUAAAAUCCCUAACAACAGAACCAAAAUCGGAAACGUUACGGUAUUUCCGUUUCUUUUUUUUGACAAAUAAUUAAGUUACAAAAAAAAUAAUUCAUACAGACUUCGUCCCCAUUUACAGGUAAUGCCUGCCUCAUAUUAUGGGGACGAAGUCCCCAAUUACGGUAGAAAAAUCAAUAAAAAAAAAAAAAAAAAAAAAAAAAAUCGGGAAAAUUUCCCGAAUUUUUCAUUCUACUAAUGAACUCAAAAUCGUUAACUUUUUUUU
rnacentral:lncRNA from 1 species